rnacentral:rRNA from 1 species
UGGCGGCGUGCUUAACACAUGCAAGUCGAACGAUGAACCGCUUUCGGGCGGGGAUUAGUGGCGAACGGGUGAGUAACACGUGGGCAAUCUGCCCUGCACUCUGGGACAAGCCCUGGAAACGGGGUCUAAUACCGGAUAUGACUGUCCAUCGCAUGGUGGAUGGUGUAAAGCUCCGGCGGUGCAGGAUGAGCCCGCGGCCUAUCAGCUUGUUGGUGAGGUAGUGGCUCACCAAGGCGACGACGGGUAGCCGGCCUGAGAGGGCGACCGGCCACACUGGGACUGAGACACGGCCCAGACUCCUACGGGAGGCAGCAGUGGGGAAUAUUGCACAAUGGGCGAAAGCCUGAUGCAGCGACGCCGCGUGAGGGAUGACGGCCUUCGGGUUGUAAACCUCUUUCAGCAGGGAAGAAGCGAAAGUGACGGUACCUGCAGAAGAAGCGCCGGCUAACUACGUGCCAGCAGCCGCGGUAAUACGUAGGGCGCAAGCGUUGUCCGGAAUUAUUGGGCGUAAAGAGCUCGUAGGCGGCUUGUCACGUCGGUUGUGAAAGCCCGGGGCUUAACCCCGGGUCUGCAGUCGAUACGGGCAGGCUAGAGUUCGGUAGGGGAGAUCGGAAUUCCUGGUGUAGCGGUGAAAUGCGCAGAUAUCAGGAGGAACACCGGUGGCGAAGGCGGAUCUCUGGGCCGAUACUGACGCUGAGGAGCGAAAGCGUGGGGAGCG